GAUUUCUGGCUUGGUGCGCGCCGUCCGCUGCGGUUACGUAGUGUGUGCGGUUGUGCGCCUGCCAUCUUUCUAGACAUCAUGCUGCGCCCUUCACUGGGUGGCAGGUGGUGGCUGGAUCUUUUACUUUGAAAAAAUUAGAGUGUUUAAAGCAGGCUUGCGCUAUGAAUACAUUAGCAUGGAAUAAUAAUUUAGGACUUUAUUCCUAUUUAUUGGUUUCUGGAGUAGAGUAAUGAUUGAUAGGGAUAGUUGGGGGUGCUAGUAUUCAUCGGCCAGAGGUGAAAUUCUUGGAUUCGAUGAAGACUAACUAAUGCGAAAGCAUU
rnacentral:rRNA from 1 species